rnacentral:rRNA from 1 species
GCGGAGGGAUCAUUACCGAGUUUACAACUCCCAAACCCAAUGUGAACCAUACCAAACUGUUGCCUCGGCGGGGUCACGCCCCGGGUGCGUCGCAGCCCCGGAACCAGGCGCCCGCCGGAGGGACCAACCAAACUCUUUCUGUAGUCCCCUCGCGGACGUUAUUUCUUACAGCUCUGAGCAAAAAUUCAAAAUGAAUCAAAACUUUCAACAACGGAUCUCUUGGUUCUGGCAUCGAUGAAGAACGCAGCGAAAUGCGAUAAGUAAUGUGAAUUGCAGAAUUCAGUGAAUCAUCGAAUCUUUGAACGCACAUUGCGCCCGCCAGUAUUCUGGCGGGCAUGCCUGUCCGAGCGUCAUUUCAACCCUCGAACCCCUCCGGGGGUCCGGCGUUGGGGAUCGGGAACCCCUAAGACGGGAUCCCGGCCCCGAAAUACAGUGGCGGUCUCGCCGCAGCCUCUCAUGCGCAGUAGUUUGCACAACUCGCACCGGGAGCGCGGCGCGUCCACGUCCGUAAAACACCCAACUUCUGAAAUGUUGACCUCGGAUCAGGUAGGAAUACCCGCUGAACUUAAGCAU